AUGCAUGUCAAGUUCAUAUAUAAAUAGAAACUGCGUACGGCUCAUUAGAGCAGAUUUAAAUGAUUCCGGGUAUCCUAUUGGAUAACUGUGGUAAUUCUGGAGCUAAUACAUGCAACAAUGCUCAGUUUCGGCUGAGUGCAGUUAUUAGUACGAACCAAUCGCUUUCGGGCGUAGUUUGUUGACUCUGAAUACCUAGUUUAUCGGCGGUUCAUCCGCUGAAGUCCGGAAUUUUGUGUCUGCCCUAUCAACUAGAUGAUAGUCUAUUGGCCUAUCAUGGUUGUAACGGGUAACGGAGAAUCAGGGUUCGACUCCGGAGAGGGAGCCUUAGAAACGGCUACCACAUCCAAGGAAGGCAGCAGGCGCGUAACUUAUCCACUACUCUUUGUGAGAUAGUGACUGAACAUAAAAAGACUCAUCUUUCUAGAUGGGUUAUUUCAAUGAGUUGAACUUAAAUAGUUCUUCGAGGACCCAGUGGAGGGCAAGUCUGGUGCCAGCAGCCGCGGUAAUUCCAGCUCCACUAAUGUAAAUCAUCAUUGUUGCGGUUAAAAAGCUCGUAGUUGAAAUCGAGUCAUGCAGCUUUGAAACGGCUUUGCCGAUAUUCUUAGCGGUGACUAUUUUGCCAGUACUUCAGGAGGUUACUUCGGUGCCUUCUGUGUCUGGCGAGUUUACUUUGAAUAAAUUAAAGUGCUUAAGACAAGCGUUUGCUUGAAUAUCUUAGCUAGGAAUAAUAAAACAGGACUACGGUUCAAUUUAUUGGUUCAGAAUUCGUGGUAAUGAUUAAUAGGGACAGUUCGGGGGCAUUCGUAUUCCUGCGCGAGAGGUGAAAUUCGGUGACCGCAGGAAGACGUCCUGAAGCGAAAGCAUU
rnacentral:rRNA from 1 species